UGUGUGUGUUUGCCGCAUGAAUAGGGGUGCCCCAGAGGCCAGAAGACAGUGUUAGCUCCUCUGGAGCUGGAGUUACGGGGGGGUUAAAAUGCCUGAGGUGGAUGCUCUGGAAGAGAAACCAAGCCCUCCUAAACCGCUCAGCAUCUCUCAGGUCCAACAAAAAAUUGAUCUGCUCAGUUUGGAACACUCAUCAUGUCUUCCCCAGAGUCCUGUUGCCUAGCGCUAGAAUGUAUUUCACUUUCUUUCCUGUGUCAAAGUGAUUCUGUCUAAUUCAUCUUUGUUGACAACCCAACCACUGUAUUCUCUGCCAUCUCAUCACCAUUAUUGAACUGCCAGGACUGCAACCUGUGAGCUAGUCUAAUAUACAAUAUAUUAUCAAAUAUACAUAUCGAAUAUAUAUUACAUACUAUUAUAUAUUAUUACAUAUAUUAGUCAUUUUCACUUGGAGAACUCUGGCUAAUACAAGCAAGAACUCUCCAGUGGUACGCCUCUUGAAGUUGGCACCAUGGGAGGACCUUUCUGCUGGUGCUGCUGCCUUUGGGUCACCCAAGUUCCUAUGUGUAACUCCAUAGAUUCACCUGAAAACAUGUGUGGAGGAGGUGGUAGGGUCAGGAAGGAGCAAGAAAUUAUGAUCUCCAUCAAUCUAUGUCUGCAGUUAGAAAGUGCAUUUAUUUACUGAUGCAUCCUGUGAACACAGCUUGACCAGUCCCAAAUGUCACCGUAUUGAUUCUCAUUCAUUUAAACAGGAGAGCCUGCUCUAAUGUUUCGUUCACUGACUUUGGUACCAUGUUGAAGUUCAAAUUGAAGGACACUUGUGUGGGUUUUCAAAUCUUCUGGAAGAUUGGAGAGAGCUAUAUUCCAAAAAUCACAGAGCAUAUUGAGCAACUAUUUCCAAGAGCUGACCUCAAGUCCUUGAAGCUGCCGUGCAGCUGAGCACAAACUUGAGAACUUGAGGCAAAAUUUCAUCACAGCAAAAUCCCAGGAUAUUGGAGUCUGUGUCUCUUGAGACACUGUUAUUGCAAAACAUUCCUCCACAUUCCAAAUGUCUAUGUUAAAAGCCUAACAAGUAUUAAAUGAUCUGAGCAACCUCACA